UAGCUCAGCGGUAGAGCGCUUGCCUAGCAAGCGCAAGGCCCUGGGUUCGAUCCCCAG
rnacentral:tRNA from 1 species